UGAUAGUACCUUUACCUGGAUAACUGUGGUAAUUCUAGAGCUAAUACAUGCUAAAAACCCCAACUUCGGGAGGGGUGUAUUUAUUAGAUAAAAAACCAAUGCCCUUCGGGGCUCUUUGGUGAUUCAUAAUAACUAAACGAAUCGCAUGGCCUUGCGCCGGCGAUGGUUCAUUCAAAUUUCUGCCCUAUCAACUUUCGAUGGUAAGGUAGUGGCUUACCAUGGUUUCAACGGGUAACGGGGAAUUAGGGUUCUAUUCCGGAGAGGGAGCCUGAGAAACGGCUACCACAUCCAAGGAAGGCAGCAGGCGCGCAAAUUACCCAAUCCCAAUACGGGGAGGUAGUGACAAUAAAUACUGAUACGGGGCUCUUUCGGGUCUCGUAAUUGGAAUGAGUACAAUCUAAAUCCCUUAACGAGGAACAAUUGGAGGGCAAGUCUGGUGCCAGCAGCCGCGGUAAUUCCAGCUCCAAUAGCGUAUAUUAAAGUUGUUGCCGUUAAAAAGCUCGUAGUUGAACCUUGGACCUGGCUGAUCUGUCCUCCUAAUCGAGCGUACGGAUUCGGUCGGGUCUUUCCUUCUGGGGAGCCCUAUGCCCUUCACUGGGUGUAGCGGGGAACCAGGACUUUUACCUUGAAAAAAUUAGAGUGUUCAAAGCAGGCCUUUGCUCGAAUACAUUAGCAUGGAAUAAUAAAAUAGGACAUCGGUUCUAUUUUGUUGGUUUCUAGGACCGCUGUAAUGAUUAAUAGGGAUAGUCGGGGGCGUCCGUAUUCAAUUGUCAGAGGUGAAAUUCUUGGAUUUAUUGAAGACGAACUACUGCGAAAGCAUUCGCCAAGGAUGUUUUCAUUAAUCAGUGAACGAAAGUUAGGGGAUCGAAGACGAUCAGAUACCGUCGUAGUCUUAACCAUAAACUAUGCCGACUAGGGAUCGGACGGUGGUUUUUUUAUGCCCCGUUCGGCACCUUACGAGAAAUCAAA
rnacentral:rRNA from 1 species